rnacentral:rRNA from 1 species
UACGAAGGGUCCAAGCGUUGUCCGGAAUCAUUGGGCGUAAAGCGCGCGCAGGCGGAUCAGUAAGUCAGGUGUGAAAUCUCGAAGCUCAACUUCGAAACUGCGCCUGAAACUACUAGUCUAGAGUGUCGGAGGGGGUAGGGGAAUUUCACGUGUAGGGGUAAAAUCCGUAGAGAUGUGAAGGAACACCGGGGGCGAAGGCGCCUACCUGGACGACUACUGACGCUGAGGCGCGAAAGCGUCGGGGAGCAAACAGG